CCUUGUGCCAGCAGCCGCGGUAAUUCCAGCUCCAAUAGCGUAUACUAAUGCUGUUGCUGUUAAAAAGCUCGUAGUUCGAUAAGGAUUGAUUCUGGUUCAGAUACAGUGCUUCGUAUUCGUACAGGUAUUCGUUGAGAUCCGCUUGGAAUUGAUUCUGCAAUGAGUGACUCGUACGGUCGAAGAGCUCUUCAUUGAGCUUGGAAACGCUUUCGCAGCCAACAUCUGCACAAGUACAGUCGUUCGUGAUACCGUGAACAAAACAGCGUGCUCAAAGCAAGUGAUUCUGCUCGAAUGUUCAAGCAUGGAAUAUCAAGGAAUCGACCGUGAGUCUAAUCUUUGCUGGUUUCUGUAUGCGUCUUGGAGAAUUGGACCUGAGAAUAUCGUGCCGUAGUCAGUUCCUCCGGGUUCUGCUAUGGUACUAAGCUCUAGUUUACCGGGUAUUAACAGGGAUGAACGGAGCAGUGUGUAUUGGCUCGCGAGAGGUGAAAUUCUUAGACCGUGCCAAGACAAAACGUAAGCGAAGGCAUUCUGCAAGUAUAUCUUCACUAAUCAAGAAACGAGAGUGCAGGGAUCGAAGAUGAUCAGAUACCGUCGUAGUCUGCUACUGUAAACGAUGCGAACUCGGGAUCAGCCCGUCGCCAAUCUUUUCGAUUACCAGGCUGGAACCUACUUACUUCUCCUAGCGCGAAAGCUUUAAGUUUAUGCGUUCAGGGGGGAGUACAGUUGCAAGGCUGAAACUUAAAGGAAUUGACGGAAUGACACCACAAGGCGUGGAUGCUGCGGCUUAAUUUGACUCAACACGGGGAAUCUCACCAGGUCAGGACGCAUGUUGGAUUGACAGAUUGAAAGCUCUUUCUUGAUUAUGUGUAUGGUGGUGCAUGGCCGCUCCUGGUUGGUGGAGUGAUUUGUCUGGUUGAUUCCGUUAACGAACGAGAUCUUGGCCCUUCAAUGACAGUUUGAUCGAUUGUAAUUCAGUCAACGUGCUUGCAUGCUUGCACUGGAUGAGAUCUUGUCUUGUACUCAAGGGGACGAUGCAUGUUGACAAUGCAUGGAAGUGCGAGCCAAUAGCAGGUCUGUGAUGCCCAAGG
rnacentral:rRNA from 1 species